GACGGGACCCGCACAAGCGGUGGAUGAUGUGGUUUAAUUCGAUGCAACGCGAAAACCUUACCCACCUUUGACAUGUACGGAACCCUUUAGAGAUAGAGGGUGCUCGAAAGAGAGCCGUUAACACAGGUGCUGCAUGGCUGUCGUCAGCUCGUGUCGUGAGAUGUUGGGUUAAGUCCCGCAACGAGCGCAACCCUUGUCAUUAGUUGCUACAUUCAGUUGGGCACUCUAAUGAGACUGCCGGUGACAAACCGGAGGAAGGUGGGGAUGACGUCAAGUCCUCAUGGCCCUUAUAGGUGGGGCUACACACGUCAUACAAUGGAUGGUACAAAGGGUCGCCAACCCGCGAGGGGGAGCCAAUCCCAUAAAGCCAUUCGUAGUCCGGAUCGCAGUCUGCAACUCGACUGCGUGAAGUCGGAAUCGCUAGUAAUCGUGGAUCAGAAUGUCACGGUGAAUACGUUCCCGGGUCUU
rnacentral:rRNA from 1 species